GUGGGGAUAUUGCACAAUGGGCGCAAGCCUGAUGCAGCCAUGCCGCGUGUGUGAAGAAGGCCUUCGGGUUGUAAAGCACUUUCAGUCAGGAGGAAAGGUUAGUAGUUAAUACCUGCUAGCUGUGACGUUACUGACAGAAGAAGCACCGGCUAACUCCGUGCCAGCAGCCGCGGUAAUACGGAGGGUGCGAGCGUUAAUCGGAAUUACUGGGCGUAAAGCGUACGCAGGCGGUUUGUUAAGCGAGAUGUGAAAGCCCCGGGCUCAACCUGGGAACUGCAUUUCGAACUGGCAAACUAGAGUGUGAUAGAGGGUGGUAGAAUUUCAGGUGUAGCGGUGAAAUGCGUAGAGAUCUGAAGGAAUACCGAUGGCGAAGGCAGCCACCUGGGUCAACACUGACGCUCAUGUACGAAAGCGUGGGGAGCAAACGGGAUUAGAUACCCCGGUAGUCCACGCCGUAAACGAUGUCUACUAGAAGCUCGGAGCCUCGGUUCUGUUUUUCAAAGCUAACGCAUUAAGUAGACCGCCUGGGGAGUACGGCCGCAAGGUUAAAACUCAAAUGAAUUGACGGGGCC
rnacentral:rRNA from 1 species